GGCGGAGGGAGCCGGGCGCCGGAGCCGGGCCCCGCUGCAGGUACCACACUACUUCCUGAAAGAAAGGAUGACAGAUUUGACCUGGCCUGUGCAUCUUAAAAAAAAGAAGAAGAAGAAGAAGAAGAAAUAUUUAGUUAUUUUUAAAAAAGAAAAGAGAAGAUUUUAUCUCUCAACCAGACAUGGCUCUGAAAGUUAAAUGAAACCAAGAAAACAUACUAAUAGAGUGUUGCUACAUAUUUUGGGAAGAGCGUAUCAGAAAAUAAUUGAUCAACU
rnacentral:lncRNA from 1 species